rnacentral:SRP_RNA from 1 species
GGAUGGUCCCCUCGCAGCGAUAAGUGAUGAACCCCGCCAGGCCCGGAAGGGAGCAACGGUAGUUACUGAU